CAAGGAGAAAUAUCUGUUAUUUGUCAGGAUGUGAGAUUGCUGAAAGAGAGAUUUGAUGAGCGUGUUCCAUUGAGCAAAUCAAUUACCUCAAGCCAAACAAGUUGCAUCUUGGCCUCGUCUGCCUCAUCUGUUAAAAGCGUGGCGUCUGAUGAACUGGUUCCUGAGCAAAAAGAAGUAUCUAAGAGCCCUAAAGACAGAAGUCCCACAUCCUCAAUUUGUAACCACUCACCUAAGAGCCAACAGGAAGAUGAGGAGAAUAAUCGCAAAGAGCUUUUGGAUGAUGGGUGGGAUUUCUUUGAAAAUGACACUGAUAUGUAAAACUGAGGUGGUAUGUAAAUGGUGGAGGUAUGUAAAUGGUGGAUAAAGAAGGAAUAA
rnacentral:misc_RNA from 1 species